rnacentral:rRNA from 1 species
UCAGCGUAUAGUGCACUCGAGCGAUGGAUUAUGAGCUUGCUCUUAUGAAGUUAGCGGCGGACGGGUGAGUAACACGUGGGUAACCUGCCCAUAAGACUGGGAUAACUCCGGGAAACCGGGGCUAAUACCGGAUAACAUUUUGAACCGCAUGGUUCGAAAUUGAAAGGCGGCUUCGGCUGUCACUUAUGGAUGGACCCGCGUCGCAUUAGCUAGUUGGUGAGGUAACGGCUCACCAAGGCAACGAUGCGUAGCCGACCUGAGAGGGUGAUCGGCCACACUGGGACUGAGACACGGCCCAGACUCCUACGGGAGGCAGCAGUAGGGAAUCUUCCGCAAUGGACGAAAGUCUGACGGAGCAACGCCGCGUGAGUGAUGAAGGCUUUCGGGUCGUAAAACUCUGUUGUUAGGGAAGAACAAGUGCUAGUUGAAUAAGCUGGCACCUUGACGGUACCUAACCAGAAAGCCACGGCUAACUACGUGCCAGCAGCCGCGGUAAUACGUAGGUGGCAAGCGUUAUCCGGAAUUAUUGGGCGUAAAGCGCGCGCAGGUGGUUUCUUAAGUCUGAUGUGAAAGCCCACGGCUCAACCGUGGAGGGUCAUUGGAAACUGGGAGACUUGAGUGCAGAAAAGGAAAGUGAAUUCCAUGUGUAGCGGUGAAAUGCGUAAAAAUAUGAAGAACCCAGUGGGCGAAGGCGACUUUCCGGUCUGUAAAUGGAAC